UCCUGUUCCCGGCUGCAGAGCCCGCCCACCAGGGAAGCUACAGCUGUGUUUAUCACGUCUCUGCUUUUUCUCAGGACUUCUCCUCUGAGAGCCAUCUGCUCUCCAUCACCGUCACAGAUCCAAAACCUUUUAUCAUCCGAGCCGUCGUCCUGCCGCUGAUUCAGCUGCUGGUGACCAUCUGCCUUUACUUCUACUGCAAGGCCACCAGGGGGCGGAGGCCGAGCCGACAGGAGGACAUUGAGCUGGAUUAUGAUGACCUGGGUGUUCCUGCUGAAGAGGAAGGAGCUCAGGGAGCAGAGUAGCAGCUCCAAGGAGCUCCUCUCACACACAUGGGUUUAUCAGCUCUUAGAGCUUUUAACCAACGUUAGAAAUAUAUAGCUUUCACUCUGAAAGUCACCAGCAAUGUGUGAGUGCCUCAUGUUUCCUGACUUCCUGUCAGCUCCAAGCCCAUUGGUUCCCACUGAAGAUGAAGAUCUUUAAAAAACAUCACAAGUUAGUUUUAUUAUGAAAAGUCAAUGCAGUCGGUGCAGUUUGAAACCACAGACACACCAACCCAGGCCGCUCAGGAACUAAGUUGGCCAAUUAAUGCCAUAUUUUAAUGUUCAAAUAUCCUCUAGAAACAGUGUUACAAUACCCAGUGUUUGAAUCUAAUGUAGUGAUUCCUGAGAUAACAGGAGGAACGCGUUACAGCGCCACCUAGUGUUGGAUUUGUAGACCUCGAGCACAACAAGGUUUUUUUUAUAUUCAAUCAACAAAUAAGACAAAGUACAGUUUUUAAAAUGUUACGUUUUUAACAACAAUUAAUCUGAUCAGCGAGAUAGGAUAUUUGAUCCCCUUGUGGGUCACAUGGGUCAUUUCAGCAGCAGGACCACAUUUAGCUGAUCAAUAUACAAAUAGGAAUUCAACAAAAGUAAAUAGUCCAAACACUUCUUAUUUCAUAACAAUGCUGAUGUUUUAUUGAAAAAUGUUAUUACAGAAGAAUGUAGCUUGAUUUUGGUCUGAAGAGAUUGUUUGUAAAAAAAAAAAAAGCUUUUUUAGAGAAAUCCGAUUAUAUUUGUAAUUUGCCAAAAUGUAUAAGAUUGUAACUUUUCUUUAAUGUUCUUAUUUCACAUGUACUGAGCUCAGUUUGUAAUCAUUUUCAAUCAUUCAGGAUUUUUCUUACGUUAUAUCAUUUUUGAUGGUAUUUGUCUGUAUGUUGUAGUAAUUUAGCUGUUUUGAAGAACUCCACCUUUUGGAGAGCAUUCCCAAAUUCAUAAGAUAUUAAAUACUAACAUGUUGUAAUUAAAAAUGUACAUCAUUUUGUAGAAGUUUCCUUUUUAAAAGGUAAUGUGCUUUGUUAUGUGAUCAAGAUGUGCUUGUUUUUGUAUUAUUGAGGAUUGGACUUAUUUCACAAGAUGAUCAAUAAUAUGUAAUCAUUACUUUUUGGACUUUUAUGAAACAUUUUAAUUUCUUUAGAAUUUCACUUUUUUCAAAGAAUUCUGAUUAUUUUUGUGAUUUAGGAUUUUCCCAAAUUCAGGAGACUAAUUAUUUCGUACUUAAAAUGUUAACAUUGUCCGUAAACAAGUGUUGUGAUUUUGGAACCGAGAAAUGUUUUUGCUUCAUAAGAAUUUUGAUUGAUUUUCUUAUCUUUUGCAUUUCUGAAGAAUUUAGCUUUCGCCUAUUAAGGUUUUUAGAUGUGGCUUUUUUUAACAAAUGUUGUAUUUGAAGAUUUUUCAUGAUCUGGCUUAAAUCACAAAUUCUACUUGAUUUUAUAAUGAAGAGUUUUGACCGAUUUGGUUUCCAUGAGAUUACGAUGAAGCAAAUCGUCUUAAAUUCUGAACACAGCAGAAUCCUCCAGAAACCAUGACGAUGUUCAACAUCACUGUAAUAAAUGCUGUCAUUUGCUAUGUACCAAAAAAAUAAUAAAACUUCUUUAAUAAUC